UUGCAGUGAUGUCUUGAAUUUCUUCACCUGAACUUUUUGUUGAACACUUUUUUUUUUUAACUGAGCAUG